rnacentral:rRNA from 1 species
CCUACGGGAGGCUGCAGUGGGGAAUAUUGCACAAUGGGGGAAACCCUGAUGCAGCGACGCCGCGUGAGCGAUGAAGUAUUUCGGUAUGUAAAGCUCUAUCAGCAGGGAAGAAAAUGACGGUACCUGACUAAGAAGCCCCGGCUAACUACGUGCCAGCAGCCGCGGUAAUCAGUAGGGGGCAAGCGUUAUCCGGAUUUACUGGGUGUAAAGGCAGCGUAGGCGGUCCUGCAAGCCAGAUGUGAAAGCCCGGGGCUCAACCCCGGGACUGCAUUUGGAACUGGAAGGCUAGAGUGUCGGAGAGGCAGGCGGAAUGCCUAGUGUAGCGGUGAAAUGCGUAGAUAUUAGGAGGAACACCAGUGGCGAAGGCGGCCUGCUGGACGAUGACUGACGUUGAGGCUCGAAAGCGUGGGGAGCGAACAGGAUUAGAUACCCUAGUAGUC